rnacentral:tRNA from 1 species
GGUUGUAGCUCAGUGGCAGAGCACUUGCCUAGGAUGUGCAAGGCACUAGGUUCAAAUCUCAGCACCA